GAGGAUGCGAGCGUUAUCCGGAUUUAUUGGGUUUAAAGGGUGCGUAGGCGGGUUCUUAAGUCAGCGGUAAAAUUUAGAGGCUCCACCUCUUCCCGCCGUUGAAACUGGGGACCUUGAGUGGGCGAGAAGUAUGCGGAAUGCGUGGUGUAGCGGUGAAAUGCAUAGAUAUCACGCAGAACUCCGAUUGCGAAGGCAGCAUACCGGCGCCCGACUGACGCUGAAGCACGAAAGCGUGGGUAUCGAA
rnacentral:rRNA from 1 species